GCGGACCACUACUGAAAACACCUAAAUACUGUAUGUUGUGGCGGACCACUGCUGAAAACGCCUUUAUUAAUGCCACGCGUAUGUUGAUUCACUUAAUAGUUGAGUGUUACGUAUGGAUUGCUGUGAGGAGAGUAAGUGUAGAUUCUCAAGAAGGAACAAGAAAACGAGGCGUCUGAGAAGGCUGCCGCUGCUGGGAGUACAGAUAAAAGAGGCAACAAAGCAGAAAGAAGAGAAAAAGAAUGAAUGCAAAGGUAGUGUGCCAUGUGGAGGAGGCAGCAGAGGCCGUGCAGGAAGAGGAGGAAGUUGGUGUUGAGGCAGCAGGUGAUGGUGAAGAUUGAAGGCCCUUCUACAAUGCCGCUUGCAGGAACACCAGUGCACCCGCUGUCAGAGCUGUCUGGCAUGUCUAGUCCUUCAGGAUGAGGCAAAAACCGUCCAUCACAAAAAGGAUACUUGAGAUAACUUGUUGAAGGAGGCAUGAGAGACUGAAGAAAAGAAGAACAAGAGAGAGAGAGAGAGAGAGAGAGAGAGAGAGAGAGAGAGAGAGAGAGAGAGAGAGAGAGAGAAGGCAGACAGCCAAACAGGCUAAGUACAGUUAUUAUGUGCUCAAAUUGGAGGUCUUAAAAAAAUAAAAAUAAGAAUACUACUAAUAAAAGUAGAUGUAAUAUUUUCCCUAUUUUUAACCUCUCUCAAUUUAAUACUUCCUUUAGUGUACUUACUAAACGCAGUUCCUAUGUGCUCUGUAGCAAGCACAGCCAAUAGUGUACUAAAUUCAUAUUAGGAACCAACCUCUCCCAACCCUAUCCCACUUCCCCCCACAAAAAAAAAAAAAAAAAAAAAAAAUCAGAACAGCAGUACCCUUAGAUGUUAUCACACAAGUACCUCAGCAAGGGAAGGAUGGAAUGUAUGGACAUCUUCAGCCAUACUGGAAGGAUGAAGAGUGAAGAGUUUGUUGAAAAUGUGGUAUACGGUUCUGUUCAGCAUAUGAAGUUUGCUCCUGGAUCUCAGCCCCAUAAUUUAUAGCUGAAGUUCUCGUUCUUCUUCCAAGACAAUGGUGAGUCCCUACUUUUGUAUAUGUUGUGCCAGGAUAUGCAAUGAGGCCAGUCUCAACCAAAUGAAGUCUUGAUAUCCAUGGUGUUGGUUUUGGUUUUGGAAAGAUGUCAGCAGAAGACACUCGCAGCUGAAACCAUCGUGACUGACAAGACGCGGACUUAUGCCACCUCUACAAGCACCACUUGAUAGCAACAUACCAAUGGGUGCAAGAAAAUAUUGUCUGUGUGACGUUUGAGACCUUCUCACAUAGCUCUUUAAGGAUCAAUGAUACAUAAAUUUCUUAAAGAAAGUAGAAUAAUGAACUUAAUAGCUUUACAUGCAAGCUAAUUCAGUGACUGCCUGCUUACUUGAUGUAAACAUUUGUAUUGCAAGAAGACGUAUAUUUGUUGCGCUACAAAGGAACACCCAGUAAGGAGUGGUUACGAUGACCACACUGCCCAUACAGAGAAGUAGAUACUGAGAGAGAGAGAGAGAGAGAGAGAGAGAGAGAGAGAGAGAGAGAGAGAGAGAGAGAGAGAGAGAGAGAGAGAGAGAGACU